UACUAGGAACCACUCGUCGGGGACCAGAUGGUGGCGCAGCGGUAGAACACUGCACUGUGAGCCAAUUUCACGUGGAAGGUUCCUGGUUCAAGUGUGGAGACCUCCUGGAGUACACUGUGUGUGUGAGGGGUGUGUGUGUUUUCUUAGAAUUGUGCUUUUUCAGCAGAAGAUCCCAGUUUCAGAAAACUAUUCUGUUGGCUCCCACCUUAAUAGAGAAGGGUAUCAUUGAUUAUUUUCUUCUAUGGACCUGUAAUUUGAAAGGGUCUUGAUGCCAUGAUCCACCCCCAGCCUUAGCCAGCCCCCAAUCCACCCCUUGAUCAUGG